CACUGUAAUCCCAAAAGUUAUUUGCAUUCAAAUGGUUUAGCUAUAAUCACUGAUGGUAAUUAAUUUUCUCUGUAAAACUAAAAUCAUAUUACUGUGUCAGACAGAACUCAUUGGUUGAAGCUUUUUGCACUUAACCUAUAUUGUUUUGCAUGUGAUGCACUAAAAUGAAUACAUUUAACAUGGUUCUUUCUAUUUUAAGUUUAUUCUAAUAAAUAGUUUAAGUUCAAUUUUUAUAAGAGAAUAAGUUUUAAACUCAACAAUCAAAUAAUAAAAGUAAAUUUGAUGUUUACUGAUUAUGUUUAGUUGAAAGUACUUUCACUAUUUUUAAGUUUUUGUUGCCCCUCCCAUAUUUUUCCCGCUGGAACCGAAGAGACUUCUGGACUUGUUUGUCAGAAGAAAUGAAGACAAGUCGUUUUUGGUGGUUUUGCCAGGGCUUGGACAUGUUUGUUUCAGUCUUCAGUCGAUAGGGAGUACUUUUCCUCAAACCUUCACGCAAACUGGAAAGAAACAACAUAAACCAGGAAAAAAGGUUGGAACCAGGAAUACCUACUAUAAAGAAUGCUGCUGAUGGUGACCUUGAAAUCCCAAUAGGAAUCAUCUUCAAUGGUGAAAACGGAAGUCCAGAGCAAGAACUGAACCCCUCCCAACUGGGGAUCCUUCUAGAGGGCAAUGUGGUUAUGGAUUCCAUCUGCAGUCUUCCUUUGGCAAUGUGUCUCCUGUUCGGACUGACUUAUGCACUCCACUUGGAGUACCCAAAGUGCAUGAAGAAUACCUUCCUGUUUAUCCAGCAGAUUAUGCUGAAUCUGGGACGAAACGAUCCUCCUCCAAAACUCCAAAGGCUAAAAAAUGAGCUUUCAAUGUGAGAUACUGAGAUAUGUUCUUACCUUAGCUUUGAAGAGUUGAUGCAUACCAGUAACCCUAGUGCACUCUGAAGCAUAGACUGAGUUACUGGGGGGAUGAAGAAGUGCUCCUACAGUGUUAUUACACCUUGUAAUAUAGUACCCCUUCUUAUCGGCUUAGAAAAUCCACACAUUAAAUUUAGUUAAACUAAACUUGGAAGAGUGUCACUUUGAGGCUUUGCUCCAUUUGCAUGACUGAGGGCACGCACAAAGACAAAACUGGUACACAUCAACUCGUCAAAGCUAAGGUAAGAACAUAUCUUAUGUAAAAUCAGUGACCUAUUCCUUUAAUUUCAUUGUCUCGCUGGGGCCAUUCCUUAUUCCAUAGUUUUUAUUUUUCCAAGUUAAAAUAUUUGUGGAAAUAAGUUUUACUGUUACAACUUGUUACCCAGAGUGUCACACCAAAGUUCUUUACUUGUGAUACACAGUUUUAUCUGUUUAAAAGGAUUGUUUUAAAGAAAAUGUUUUAUAUGAAGUUCAAUUGUGCACUUGUUUCACUUACUGUGAAAAAAAAACUACCUCAGAGACCACAAAUAAGUUCUUGUCAAAAAGUGUCUUGGAAUAACUGAAAUAUUGAAAUAAUGUUUCUGAAAGAAAUGUUUUCUUAGAAGCGCCAUGUGUAAAAAUUGUAAUACUGUUCAAAGGAAAACAAAAGUCUUGUUUUGUUAUAAAUAAAGUAAAAAAAAAAAACA